CCUCUUUCUCUUCACUCUCUCUCUCUCUCUCUCUCUCUCUCUCUCUCUCAGAGUCAGCUCCGGUCUCAACAUUUCUUCUCCUUUCCACGUCGUUUACUCCUCCUUCCCACGAUCUCUCUGUCAUGGCGGCAGCGGAUAUUGCACCCGGUCCCAACGACGGAGCUCCAGUCCUGAUCGAUGGCAAUGUCCUCGCCGCUAAGGCUCUCUCCCGGUUCGGCGUGGAUCGGAUGUUCGGCGUCGUGGGGAUCCCCGUCACUUCCCUCGCAAACCGGGCCGUCUCGCUCGGUAUCCGCUUCAUCGCCUUCCACAACGAGCAGUCCGCCGGUUACGCCGCCUCAGCGUACGGAUAUCUGACGGGCCGCCCUGGCGUCCUCCUCACUGUCUCCGGCCCCGGCUGCGUUCACGGGUUAGCCGGCCUCGCCAACGCCAUGGCCAACACUUGGCCAGUGGUGAUGAUCUCCGGCUCCUGCGACCAGAAGGACUUCGGUCGCGGCGACUUCCAGGAGCUCGAUCAGAUCGAGGCGGUGAAGCCGGUCUCGAAAUUCUCCGCCAAGGCCAGGACUAUAAACGAAAUUCCCAGAUGCGUCGCUCAGGUCCUCGAUCAUGCCGUGGCAGGUCGGCCUGGUGGGUGCUACCUGGACCUCCCGAGUGAUGUGCUACACCAGACCGUGACCGAAUCAGAAGCUGAAAGCCUCCUAGCAGAGGCCGAGAAGUGUCGAUUGAAGGAAGAGAUAACCAACGUGUUGAGCUCACAAAUUGAGGAGGCGGUUACUCUUCUCAGACAAGCUGAGCGGCCGCUGAUUGUGUUUGGGAAGGGAGCAGCCUACGCUCGAGCCGAGAAUGAGCUGAGGAAGCUCGUUGAGAGCACCGGAACUCCAUUCCUCCCAACUCCUAUGGGCAAGGGUUUAUUGCCCGAUACGCAUGAGCUGGCGGCAACUGCUUCCCGCUCCCUGGCUAUCGGCAAGUGUGACGUGGCUCUUGUUGUUGGGGCCCGUCUCAACUGGCUGCUCCACUUUGGGGAGCCGCCAAAGUGGUCGCCCGAUGUUAAGUUCAUCUCGGUGGACGUCUCCAAAGAGGAGAUUGAGCUGAGGAAGCCCUUUAUGGGCUUAGUAGGUGAUGCUAAACGAGUGUUGCAAGCGAUUAAUAAGGAGAUUAAGGAUGACCCCUUUUGUUUGGGGAAGAGUCACCCUUGGGUUGAGGCCAUCUCAAAGAAGGCAAAAGAGAACGUGUCGAGAAUGGAAGCUCAGUUGGCCAAGGAUGUUGUGCCCUUUAAUUUCUUGACACCAAUGAGGAUCAUAAGGGACGCUAUAUCUGGAGUAGGGAGUCCUGCCCCAAUAUUGGUUUCGGAAGGGGCGAACACUAUGGACAUUGGAAGAGCAGUUUUGGUUCAGACUGAACCUCGGACUAGGUUGGAUGCAGGCACCUGGGGUACGAUGGGAGUUGGGUUAGGGUACUGCAUUGCUGCUGCUGUGGCUUCUCCAGACAGGCUCGUGGUUGCAGUGGAAGGGGACUCGGGAUUUGGGUUCAGUGCGAUGGAAGUUGAGACUCUGGUGCGGUACCAGUUGCCAGUUGUGGUGAUUGUCUUCAACAAUGGUGGUGUAUAUGGUGGUGACAGGAGGAGUCCUGAGGAAAUUUCGGGGCCCUACAAGGAUGACCCAGCACCUACUUCUUUUGUACCUAAUGCUGGUUACCAUACUUUGAUUGAAGCCUUUGGUGGCAAAGGUUAUCUUGUUGGGACUCCUCAAGAAUUAAAAGAUGCUCUCUUAAAGUCCUUUGCUGCACGGAAACCGGCUGUCAUAAAUGUUAUUAUCGAUCCUUUUGCUGGUGCAGAGAGUGGGAGACUACAGCACAAGAACUGAUAUAGGGUACACCUGCUUUUUGUGUGUGGUGGAGCAAGAGAAGAACUGGGAGAUUGGUUCCAAUGCCUUAUAAGGGAUUAGGCAAUGGAGAUACAAGUUGCAUAUUAUAUCAGAUAAAUGGAGAAGAAAGCAGAGUCAUAGAGCAUCCCCCCACCCCAAUCGAUAAUAAGGCCUUAUUCUAUUUCUGCACUCUUAUCCGAUGGAACCUUUUGCCUCCACAUAUUGGGGCAAUUGCCAAUGGGCAUUUGUUCUUCCACCUGUCAUCACCCCCCAGCCUCCUUAUCCCAUUCCAAUUGUCUGGAUUCUUCAUUCUCCCAGUUUCUCGACUGAGAUCUUGCCACGACUGAGAUCUUGCCUUGCCUUGCCAUGCCAUGCCAUGUCAUGUACAAUCGCAUCAAAUUCACAUUCAUUUAGUUCGAAUCUAACUUAUUAUCUGCAUUUGUUUCUUGAAAGACUGCAUCUCAAGAAACUCUCAAGUCUAGAGAUUGUAAACAUUUUAGCUGGAAGAUAACCAUUCUAAAGUUACUUUCAUGCCCCAACACAAAUUUGUCUCUUCCCAAAUAUGUACAUGAGUUAGUCUUGCUUCUUGUUCAUUUCAUAUAUUUGACACUAUCAGACUAGCAGUUCCUUUAAACUAUCAUCCUAUCUGCCGAAGCAGCGCAGAAGAUUUCUCACACAGUUUGUGUCUGUCUAUCUAACUUCAAAGUUCUUAGUAAGUAGGUAGUCUGUGCUGGAGCAGUCAUGUGACAUGAGAAGGACAUGAAUAAACAUUGAAUUACUGUUUCUGUCAUUUUUGUAUUUGACUGCUAUGAACUCUCAUGCUAAUCUUAGAUUAGUUCAGGGUGGAUUUGGUACAUCUCCAUAUUGUUUUGCCUCCCCUUUUAGAAAAUUAUUAAUUCUAAAAAAGUUUAAUGCUUAGAAGUUGGUUGUAGAGGAUAGUGAAUGUGAGGGAGGGAGAGAGGGAGAGGAUGAGGGGUGACUUAUUACUAAUUUAGCCUAAACAAAUAAUGUCUGAGCAUAUUGAAACUAGUUUAAUAAGUCAUCUUGACUCGUUAAUAUAAACGAACUUUCACAAAUUAUCUCCUCCAAUUCUUUUUUUUCCCCCCCUCAUGAAAAGUGAUUUCGACUCAUAUUUAUUCUCCUAACAUAAUUUUUUUUUUUAACAAGGUGCUUGUUGGAUGAAAAACACUGAUCGUUGCGUGCUUCCCAUUGUCUCUCUCAUUGCUCUCUCCACACUCGUGAUUGAUUUCUCAAAGCAAUUUACCUUUUAUAUGAUAUGCAACUAUGCACUGGGAGGAUUACUCUAUUAUAUGAUAAAGACGGCUGAUGGUUGGACCUUUUUAAGUUGAUCAUGAGUGAACCAUGUUUGUUCUGAUCCUCAAUGCCGUUGAUUGCAGAAGUCCUAUGUUUCCAUGAACUUUGAAUUCUAUAUAUGUCCGUCCUGGAGAACAUGUAAGUCGAUGGUGUUCUAUCUUUUACUAAGACAGAACAGGUUGCAAAACAAGACAUAGCUGACUUAUUAAAAGAAGCCUCUAAUUUUAUGUCCAAAAUAAGGAAGAUGGAGGUUACAUGUGUCUGGGGUGGAAUAGUAAAAAUUACAUGGUAAAUAAAUACAAGCACCCACAGUUUGUGUGGCCACUGAAAUUUGUUUGAUCGCCAUGGACUUGAUCUUGGAGUCAGGUAUGAAGAUUGAAAUCUUGUCUUAUCGCUCUUGUAUUUUGUGAUGUCCUUAUAGUCAUGAACACAACAGCUGUUAGUCAUCAUUGGUUUCCAUAUCUUUGGGUUCUUACGAAUUCCUUCAUUGUGAGGUCUCCCUUCAUAUAUGGUGAAAUUGACUGUUUCCAGAAUUCUCUUUCUCUGCAAUUUCGCAAACUUGAGCUGAUCUCGUUGUUAUAAACCCUCUAUCGGUUUUAUAGACCAGAGUCAUGAAUACACGAGUGAGGAUUUUGCUGGUACACAAGAGAGACAAAAGGAGAUGUUACAUAGUUGCUGGAGAUAUUAUCCUUUUUUUUUAUGAAUAAUUGUAUUAUCCUUUCGUUUUAGGUAGUAUGGUAGUAAAGUUUUAAAAUCAUGGAUCCCAUUAUGUCCACUUUGCUUCU